rnacentral:ribozyme from 1 species
AGCCGUUGCGGCGGCGUUAAAUAGUGCAUUAAGCCGCAAGCGUUCCCGUCUUAAUUGGCGGGGGGUUGCA